ensembl:lncRNA
AGAUUUGAGUUUUUUGUAUGUGCAGUAUGUUUCAUCCUGCCUACACAUGUCCUCAGAGCGGCUGAUGUAUGAUGUCAUCCAGGUGAGCAGCAGCAGCUUGAAAACACUCCCAUCAGUGCAGUCAAAGUAGGACUGUAGUUCCAGCUUUGCCUCGAUGGUCCAUCUCUUCACAGUCUUGACCACAGGCUUUUCAAACAAACCAUUGUUAUGUAGAAAGUUAUCAAACUGGUUUGUGACUGUUUUCUCAAGGACCUUAGAGAGGAAGGGAAGAUCAGAGACGGGUCUGUAGUUAGCCGGCACCUCUGGAGCAAGAAGAGGUUUAAUUACAGCUACCUUGAAGGACUGUCAACAGAGACAGAUUCAUAAUAUCCAGUAGACGUGCUAACUAAAGGAAAAACUUCCUUAAGCAACUUAGACAGAAUCAGUUCCAAGAGACAAGUAGAACAUUUAGACUACAGCAGUCAGUGUAUCAAGGUUGAUGGGAGAGGAACCAUCAAGCAGGUAUCAGGGCCCGCUGCUGCAGCCAAGGUUCCCACACGCGAGGACAGAUCGGCACUGGUCGAAGGCAGGAGACCAUUUUUUUCCCUCUUAUUAUUAGAAGAAGUUCAUAACGUCGUUACUACUGAGGUCCAAAUAAAUUCACGUCUCGACAGAGCUGUGACUGGCUACAGUGGUCUGUCUGUUUUGUUUACAAAUUAUUUGUAAAUGUUUUUGUUUUUCUUACAGUACCGUACAUAUGUGGGAAUAUAUAUAUAUAUAUAUAUGUGGGAAUAUAUAUAUAUAUAUAUAUAUAUAUAUAUAUAUAUAUAUGUAAUCAUUAAAAAUGGUGAAACAGUGGUAAAUUAUAAUUUGAGAACUGAUUUGUGGUUGUAACAUGCAUUGUGAAUACUCUCAGCCCCACUGUAGCACCUUCUCCAUAAAUAGUACAAUGACUGCUUUGGGAGGCAGCAAGCAGAUCUCCCCUCCUGUACAACAUCAUCAUAAUCAAGUCCCACUGUGGAAUCCCCCUCCUAUGGAUCAUCAACCUCCUGACAGCAGUGAGGAGGCUGGUGAGGAAUUCCUGAGAUGCAUUGCAGCCAAUAAGCCUCUUCCAGACUAUCUCAAAGGAAACAUGGCAGACAACCUGGCUGAGGCCUUUAACUCCACAAAUGUCCUGAAAGACAUCCUCAAAUCAAACCCUGAGUUCCAGAAGCAUGCGGCCAGGAGCCGUAGUCGAAGCCGUGGGAAGUCUCGUGUGAAGAGUCCUGCACGAAGCAACAGCCGAGCACGAAGCAGAGUAAGGAACAAAAGCCGUGAGCGGGCCAAGAGCCGGGCCAGGAGCAGAAGCAGGAGCCGGGCCAGGAGCAGAAGCAGGAGCCGGGCCAGAAGCAGGAUCCGGGUCAGAAGCAAAAGCAGACCCAGAGGCAAGGCCAGAAGCAAGAGCCGGCCCAGAAGCAAAAGCAGGCCCAGAGGCAGGGUCAGAAGCAGAAGCAGGGCCAGAAGCAAGAGCAGGCCUCGCAGUAGGAGUCUGAGCCAGAGCCGAAGCAAGAAUAUGAGUCGAGCGCGGAGCAAGAGCCGGGCCCGAAGGUCCAGGUCACAGAGUAGCAGCAGUGAAAAAAGUCCUGGCAAAGACUCCCAGAGAAAGGGUUUUAGCGGCAAUACCAGUCUGACAAGGAAAAGCCUGUUGGAAGGACUGAAGCUGGUCAUGAAAAGCAAAGAGCUGGAAGAGCGGUUGCCAACCCUCAAAGAUGCCAUCCUCACUAUUCAGGCCUCAGAUAAAAGCAAAAAAGUGGAUUGUGUGCCUAACGAGCAGAGACAUCGGCCGUGCAACAGUAAUGAGAACUCAACAUCGUUGGAAAAUGACAAUAUGGUCCUUCCCCAUGACCGAGUAGGCAGUGACUUUUCUUGGCUCCAGGUGCAGAGUCAGGAGGACUCUGCAGUCCUGAAAGCAGAUGUGCUUGAGGAUGAAGAGUCAUUUCUGUAUGGGAAUGAAGACACAAGAGGAAAAGAGGCCAAAAAAUCCUCCACCACACUCUUUACACCAUUUCCCCAGAUCGGAGAGCUUGCCAAACCACGGGCGAUGGCUCAUUCAGGCAGUCAACAUCAUCAGAAGUCCAGAUUCAGCACUUUUGGGGGUCCGCUUGAUCUGAAGCAGCCUCAAAUGACUUCCCCUAGUGUAGCCUCUGCCAAUCUGGACAGCAUUGAGUAUGAGAAGAUCAGGAACAUAUUAGAAAGUCUGGGCAAAGCAGACGUCAGCGAGAUCAUGGAUAAGAUGCAGGGGCUUAAGGAAGGGAAGCAACCGUCUCCUGCACGUCCUGCUGCAGCCUUGGCAUUGCCAGCACUGAGUCACCCCAAUGUGCGUCACGCUCUGGAGUCCUUACAGUCAUUGAUCAAAGGUAACAGAAGGCUUCAUCUAUGGCACAAAC